UACGUAGGGGGCAAGCGUUGUCCGGAAUCAUUGGGCGUAAAGCGCGUGUAGGCGGUUACGUAAGUCUGCUGUGAAAGUCGGAGGCUCAACCUUCGAAAGCCGGUGGAUACUGCGUGACUAGAGUACGGAAGAGGAGAGUGGAAUUCCUGGUGUAGCGGUGAAAUGCGCAGAUAUCAGGAGGAACACCGAUUGCGAAGGCAGCUCGCUGGGACGUUACUGACGCUGGAGACGCGAAAGCGUGGGGAGCAAACAGG
rnacentral:rRNA from 1 species